rfam:Oryza meridionalis cultivar OR44 (W2112) chromosome 2, whole genome shotgun sequence.
GUCCCAGUGAGGAUUCUAUGACCAUAGGAAGUGCCGUAUGACACUUUAAACAGCAGCUGCUUUUCUCCUUUGCAAGUGUCCAUCCAUCGACCAUAACCUUUGUGGUUUGGUCUGGGAUGGAGUACCCAUUUGCAAUUGGUUUAAUUCGGCUGUGUGUGUGAUUUUAAACGGGUCUCUGAGGGAU